rfam:Flavobacterium sp. ov086 genome assembly, contig: Ga0070134_105
UAUUAGUCCCGAUAGCAGUAGAAAUCCUUUUGUGCCGGGGCUGGGCACAAAAGAUUGGAACGUAUAAUGGGAAAAGCU